GUCACCAAACUAUGACUUACUUUGUAUGAGUCCAUUUGAAAAUGACAUCCUCCUCUUAGUCCUGGGUCUGGGAAAAUGCCUUCAGUGUUUUCCUGUGUCUUUCCCUCUCACAUUCUCCCAACCUAUCCCCAAGUUAUCUCCAAGACUUAGGAGAAACAAGGUGCUCUCCUGUGACCUGGGUGGCACAGACCCCUACUGGAAAAGUGAAUCACAGAGGGAGUCUCUUUGCCUCCAUCAUGGAUUUAUUAAUUUCUUUUCUGUCUUUCCACUCUAAUCUCAAACAUAAAUGUCCCGAAGCAGAAACCCUAUACAACUUCUUCAGUACUUUUCCUGCCAGUGCUUAAAAGGAUGCCUUUUUAUUGUAGGUGCUCAAAAAACAUUUGUUGAGUAAGUGAACCUGAGACUAUCAACAAGCAUUAUUUUAAAAUCACUAGCAAAGGUAAGUAAGUAAAAUCACCUCUUCUUAGGCUUUCUUUCUUUCCUUCUUUCUUUCUUCUUUCUUUCUUUCUUUCUCCUUCCUUCCUUCCCUUUCUUUCUUCCUUCUUUCUUUUUCUUUCUUUCUUUCUUUGUCUUUCUCUUUCUUUCUUCCUUUCUUUCUCUCUCUCUCUUUCUUUCCUUUCUUCCUUCCUUCCUUCCUUCCUUCCUUCCUUCCUUCCUUCCUUCCUUCCUUUCUUUCUUUCUUUCUUUCUUUCUUUCUUUCUUUCUUUCUUUCUUUCUUUCUUUCUUUCUUUCCUUCUUUCUUUUAGACAGAGUCUCACUCUGUCACCCAGGCAGGCUGAAGUGC
rnacentral:lncRNA from 1 species